UGAUAGGCUAUUAAUAAGGACGACAGCUUCUAUCGAGCAUAGGUCGCUGUAGGCUAUAUGGAUUGGUUGUCCUCUUAACCAAAAAGUAUGGAGACACUAGCAUGGCAUACAGGUGAGAUGUAAGGGUACAUCUCAUUGAACAUGACCAACUUCAGAGCAUUUUGCUGUCGAGAAUGCCUCUGAUGGGAUAUAGGUAUAAGUGUCCCUUAGACCUGAGAUCACCUUAGUGACUUGCAAGCAACUCACUAUGC
rnacentral:lncRNA from 1 species